AUUUAUUGCGUGCUGCCAUUCGUCAUCGCCGGCCUGUGGAUACUUUUCAAGCUGAUAAAAACACCUUGACGCGUAAUUGCGAAGUGAUCUUGUGCAAUUAUAAUGUAAAUCUUAUAACGUGCAAGCUAGACAAUAUCUAAUUUGCGGCGAAGUAAAUAAACAAUUUAACUGAAUAGUACAUUAUUGACAGCACAAAUAUUAUUUUGACCCAAGAUGUCGCUCUGGGCUAGAGCGCAACAGCUGCCACCAGAGAGCUUGCAGAAGGUAAGC